rnacentral:rRNA from 1 species
CAAUAGCGUAUAUUAAAGUUGUUGCGGUUAAAAAGCUCGUAGUUGGAUUUCUGCCGAGGACGACCGGUCCGCCCUCUGGGUGAGUAUCUGGCUCGGCCUGGGCAUCUUCUUGGAGAACGUAGCUGCACUUGACUGUGUGGUGCGGUAUCCAGGACUUUUACUUUGAGGAAAUUAGAGUGUUUCAAGCAGGCUUACGCCUUGAAUACAUUAGCAUGGAAUAAUAAGAUAGGACCUCGGUUCUAUUUUGUUGGUUUCUAGAGCUGAGGUAAUGAUUAAUAGGGAUAGUUGGGGGCAUUCGUAUUUAACCGUCAGAGGUGAAAUUCUUGGAUUUGUUAAAGACGGACUACUGCGAAAGCAUUUGCCAAGGAUGUUUUCAUUG